UUAGCACCUUUCUUCACAAGUGCCUCCCAUCUUGGACCAGAGAAUUUCUUCUGGUAAAGCUGGAAAGCUAAAGCUGCCUGAGCAUUUGCAGCCUGUAAAAAAAGUCAACGCGGUCAAAGUCAAACAAAGAUCUUUCUAAGAGACAUGGUAAGCUUGGAGUAUGCUUGAGAUAUGUUGGGAAACUCCUGUAUCAAUUUUGGGAGAAUUGGGUCAUGAAGACCGGAGACUACCCACGUCCCCACGUCGUAUGAAAUUAGGCAUGAGUUUUCAUAUGAGAGAAGAAGCAAAAAGAGACAGUGCACAAGUCGUUGGUUUUGCAUUGUAUUUCCCAUGGGCAAUAUGUUUAGGCCCGAUGAAGAAAACAACAACGCAGUUUGGCUGGAUUGUAAGAAAGGGUAUUGUACUUAUGGGUUUAUGCGGGGGGUGUAAACAUCAAUUUUUGGUUGAUUAUCAAAUUUCAACAAAAAAAGGUGUUGGUUUUUUCUUUUUCACACAUUAGACUAGAGAGACAGAAGCAAAGGCAAAUUUGAUCAUAUUUUGGCUUUAGAAAUCGUUUGGAAACAAUCGUUUCAUAAUUUGUAAGUUGGAUUAACGCAUUAUAUUAUUUUAAUUGAUGUACUGUUAUUCCUGUUUUUAGUCAUGAUCGCCCAAAACCCUAAUUUCCAGUUUCGUAGUUCAACCAAUUCUCAAAAUCUGGAACUGAAAUUGAGACUUAAGUUAGAAGGUCCACAUUUUUAAUUUUCAAAUUAAACUACAACACGUAAAAUAAGAUACCCAAAAACCCAAUCGGGCGACCCAAAUGUCGAAAAGGAAGCAAAAUGAUGUGUACCCUACUCCCAAAAGAACAUAUAAUGGAGAUAUCAGCCACCCAAUGAUGACCAACUUUUCAACUACUACAUAAGAGCCCUGGUCAAAACACCAAUAAACCACAAAAGCAAAAUGGGUAUUUACUAUUUAGAACUGAAUGGGGUCAAAAAAAAAUAAAAAAUGGAGUCAAAAUUAAAGAAUCACAUAUAUAUGUCACUUGGAAAAGGCAAUUUAAACCCAGUAUAGAUUAUUCCCAACAAAUAAACAAAAAAACCCACCUGAUGCUGCCUUAUUUAGAACUCUAUAGCAGCACAUUCAAAAACUCUGAAUACAUGAACAAAAACAAAAAAUUAUAACAAAAACAAAAA